AGUGAACGCUGGCGGUAGGCCUAACACAUGCAAGUCGAACGGCAGCACAGUAAGAGCUUGCUCUUACGGGUGGCGAGUGGCGGACGGGUGAGGAAUACAUCGGAAUCUACUUUUUCUUGGGGGAUAACGUAGGGAAACUUACGCUAAUACCGCAUAUGACCUACGGGUGAAAGCAGGGGAUCUUCGGACCUUGCGCGACUGAAUGAGACGAUGUCGGAUUAGCUAGUUGGCGGGGUAAAGGCCCACCAAGGCGACGAUCCGUAGCUGGUCUGAGAGGAUGAUCAGCCACACUGGAACUGAGACACGGUCCAGACUCCUACGGGAGGCAGCAGUGGGGAAUAUUGGACAAUGGGCGCAAGCCUGACCCAGCAACACCGCGUGGGUGAAGAAGGCCUUCGGGUUGUAAAGCCCUUUUGUUGGGAAAGAAAAGCAGCAGGUUAAUACCCCGCUGUUUUGACGGUACCCAAAGAGUAAGCACCGGCUAACUUCGUG
rnacentral:rRNA from 1 species